UACGAAGGGGGCUAGCGUUGCUCGGAAUCACUGGGCGUAAAGCGCACGUAGGCGGACUCUUAAGUCGGUGGUGAAAUCCUAGAGCUCAACUCCAGAACUGCCUUCGAUACUGAGAGUCUCGAGUCCGAGAGAGGUGAGUGGAACUGCGAGUGUAGAGGUGAAAUUCGUAGAUAUUCGCAAGAACACCAGUGGCGAAGGCGGCUCACUGGCUCGGUACUGACGCUGAGGUGCGAAAGCGUGGGGAGCAAACAGG
rnacentral:rRNA from 1 species